rnacentral:misc_RNA from 1 species
CCCUUGGAAAGCAUCUUUGAUUUGAUGGGUAUGGUGCUCGUGGCAUCAUCUUCAAGAUCACUGAAAGAUAUGUCUUCUUCAUUUCCUGCAGGGAAUGUGGCUUUGUAACUGCCUAAAUCAGAAUCUUCCUCAUCUGGCCAGUCAUCCUCAUCAUCUUCAUAAUUUGGAAGCAGUACCUUAGAAGAUUGACUGGCAAGCACAUCCUUAUUCACAAUUUUUGUCACUGGCUUUUCUUCAAUAACCGACUUAUCAAUGAACUGCAUGUCUGUACUUACAACUGGGUGCUUCUGAGUUUCAUAAUCUGUUGCCAUAUUGGUCGCUGGUUCAAAAUCAAAUGUCCUGACACAUUCAAACUCUUCAUGCAAUACCGCAUUAUCAUUUGCAUUGCAAGUGCCUUUUCCAAACCAGUCAUUUUCUGGCUUCGUUUGUUUAUGUAACUCCUGCAUCCACAAUGCUCUGGCUUCCAUUACCUGAGGUGUAGAUAAAAUUUCUGCAUCAUGUUUGUUGAGUCUUGAAUGCAGAAGAACAAAAUAUACUUUCCAAAAGUAACUCUCCGUCAUAUGGCAAGGACAAAGUUCAAUUCUGAGAGCAGCUAGUCUAGGAGCGAGUCCUUCAAUAGCCAAAGCAUGCUCUUGUUGGGCAUCAGACAUGACAAAAUCAUCUAAAUCUUCUUCCUCAUCCAGGGGAAAAUCCAGCCAAGUCUCAGGAUGCAUAGCAAUAUUCCUCGCAAAUGCCAACACCUCGUCGGUAAUCCCGAUGGCUCCUGCGCCCCACUCAUCAGGCUCCUCGAUCUCCAAUUCCUCCCCAUGUGUCUCAUUUCCCUCCUCAUUAUUUUCUACCUCGUCUUCCUCUGAUCCAAAAGGAAAAUAAUUCGAUGCCAUCUUCGAAAUCUCCGUGACCCCACUCCUAAAUCUCCCUCCGAUCUCUGCAAAAUCUUGCCUGAUCCCCAAUCUUUCUUCGGAAUCGGAGUGUUCUCCCUCGUCGGAUCGAUGAGAUGCCUCGAAUUGAUUCAAAUUAGAGAGUGAUCGGUCGUUGGAAGUCGGCGGAGGAGCAAGAAAAGUGGCGACGCCCCACAGUUGACGCGUUAGGGUUUGCUUGAGUUCUGAAAGAUCCUCUUUGACGCCUCUUGUUUGCGCUUCUUCUCCUUCAUCUUGAAUUUCUGUUCCUUUUGCCAUUUCUUCUUCAAUGCAUGUUGCAGGUGAUGGGUCGUGUGGAGUGUCGGGUGCGAUGUCGUUUUCUGAGUCGGCGUCAUCCUCGUUGUCGAGUCGAAGAGAGUUGGCCAG